GUCUUAAUGAUUAUAAUUUUAAGUCGAUCUGCCCAAUGAUGUAAAAUUUAAUGGCUGCAGUAUAAUUAACUGUACAAAGGUAGCAUAAUCAAUUGUUUUUUAAUUGAGAACUAGAAUGAAAGAAUUAAUGAGAUAUAUACUGUCUCAUAUAUAUUAUAUUAAAUUAAAUUUUUAGUAAAAAUGCUAAAAUAUAUUUAUGGGACGAUAAGACCCUAUAGAAUUUUAUAUUAAAUUUUAGAUUAUAUAAUUUUAAUUUUUAAUAUUUGAUUGGGAGGAUUGAUAAAUUUAAUUAACUUUAUUUAAAAAUUAAACUUUAAUUAGAGAAUUAUUUUUGAUUUUGUAUUAUGGAUUAAAAGAAAAAAUUACCUUAGGGAUAACAGCGUAAUAUCUUUUUUAAGAUCAUAUUGAUAAAGAUGGUUGCGACCUCGAUGUUGAAUUAAGAUAAAUUUUAAAUGCAGAAGUUUAAUAAUUAAGUCUGUUCGACUUUUAAAAUCUUACAUGAUUUGAGUUCAAAUCGACGUGAGU
rnacentral:rRNA from 1 species